rnacentral:rRNA from 1 species
GUCCACGCCCUAAACGAUGUCAACUGGUUGUUGGGUCUUCACUGACUCAGUAACGAAGCUAACGCGUGAAGUUGACCGCCUGGGGAGUACGGCCGCAAGGUUGAACUCAAGGAAUUGACGGGACCCGCACAAGCGGUGGAUGAUGUGGUUUAAUUCGAUGCAACGCGAAACCUUACCCACCUUUGACAUGUACGGAAUCCUUUAGAGAUAGAGGAGUGCUCGAAAGAGAGCCGUAACACAGGUGCUGCAUGGCUGUCGU